AGAUCAGAUAAAUGUGUAAUAUGACACAUUUGCUUUUAACUAUUUUAUUGUAAUAUCAGUUUGAUUAUUUUGAUGGUACAUUUCAGACAGCUGUUAAGGGGACCAUCAAUGGCCGAGGACACACACACAUGAUGGAGACAGGAAGACGCUGGAGAUCGCUGGAGAGAGAUGCAUCACAUCCUACAACCUUAUCAUCAUGCAGAGAAACUGACACUCACUCACACCAAAACAAUUGACUUUAAAGGCAUCAAAGAGGAUUGUGAAGAUAUUUCACUGGAACUUCACAUCUAUUUUUGUUUUUUUUUAUUUUGUGUUUUACUUCUAUCUGUAUUUAUUAAUGUUUAAUGUCAGUUCUCAUUUAUGAAUGUAUUGGGCUAAUAAUGUAUUGGCAUGUCAAUAAAAAAGUAUCCACACUA